rnacentral:rRNA from 1 species
AGUCGACGAGACCUUCGGGUCUAGUGGCGCACGGGUGCGUAACGCGUGGGAAUCUGCCCUCAGGUACGGAAUAACUCAGGGAAACUUGAGCUAAUACCGUAUAAUGACUUCGGUCCAAAGAUUUAUCGCCUGAGGAUGAGCCCGCGUCGGAUUAGCUAGUUGGUGAGGUAAAGGCUCACCAAGGCGACGAUCCGUAGCUGGUCUGAGAGGAUGAUCAGCCACACUGGGACUGAGACACGGCCCAGACUCCUACGGGAGGCAGCAGUGGGGAAUAUUGGACAAUGGGCGAAAGCCUGAUCCAGCAAUGCCGCGUGAGUGAUGAAGGCCUUAGGGUUGUAAAGCUCUUUUACCCGGGAUGAUAAUGACAGUACCGGGAGAAUAAGCCCCGGCUAACUCCGUGCCAGCAGCCGCGGUAAUACGGAGGGGGCUAGCGUUGUUCGGAAUUACUGGGCGUAAAGCGCACGUAGGCGGCUUUGUAAGUUAGAGGUGAAAGCCCGGAGCUCAACUCCGGAACUGCCUUUAAGACUGCAUCGCUAGAAUUGUGGAGAGGUAAGUGGAAUUCCGAGUGUAGAGGUGAAAUUCGUAGAUAUUCGGAAGAACACCAGUGGCGAAGGCGACUUACUGGACACAUAUUGACGCUGAGGUGCGAA